rnacentral:hammerhead_ribozyme from 1 species
AUCCAGCUGACGAUUCCCAAACAGGACGAAACGCGCGUUUUGGAU